UACGGAGGGGGGCUAGCGUUGUUCGGAAUUACUGGGCGUAAAGCGCGCGUAGGCGGCUUUGUAAGUUAGAGGUGAAAGCCCAGGGCUCAACCCUGGAAUUGCCUUUAAGACUGCAUCGCUUGAACAUCGGAGAGGUAAGUGGAAUUCCGAGUGUAGAGGUGAAAUUCGCAGAUAUUCGGAAGAACACCAGUGGCGAAGGCGACUUACUGGACGAUUGUUGACGCUGAGGUGCGAAAGCGUGGGGAGCAAACAGG
rnacentral:rRNA from 1 species